rnacentral:rRNA from 1 species
AUUGCCCCAGUAACGGCGAGUGAAGCGGCAACAGCUCAAAUUUGAAAUCUGGCCCCCUGCGGGGUCCGAGUUGUAAUUUGAAGAGGAUGCUUCUGGCGAGGCGCCGUCCGAGUUCCCUGGAACGGGACGCCGGAGAGGGUGAGAGCCCCGUACGGUCGGACGCCGAGCCUCUGUGUAGCUCCUUCGACGAGUCGAGUAGUUUGGGAAUGCUGCUCAAAAUGGGAGGUAAACCCCUUCUAAAGCUAAAUACCGGCCAGAGACCGAUAGCGCACAAGUAGAGUGAUCGAAAGAUGAAAAGCACUUUGAAAAGAGAGUUAAAAAGCACGUGAAAUUGUUGAAAGGGAAGCGCUUGCGACCAGACUCGCGCCCGUCGGAUCAGCCGUCGCUCGUCGGCGGCGCACUCCGGCGGGUUCGGGCCAGCAUCGGUUCGCCUCGGGGGGAGAAAGGCGGCGGGAAUGUGGCUCUUCGGAGUGUUAUAGCCCACCGCGUAAUACCCCCGGGCGGACCGAGGACCGCGCGUUACGCAAGGAUGCUGGCGUAAUGGUCGUCAGCGACCCGUCUUGAAACACGGACCAAGGAGUCGUCCUAAUAUGCGAGUGUUCGGGUGUCAAACCCCUGCGCGUAAUGAAAGUGAACGGAGGUGAGAGCUUCGGCGCAUCAUCGACCGAUCCUGAUGUUCUCGGAUGGAUUUGAGUAAGAGCAUAUUGGGCCGGACCCGAAAGAAGGUGAACUAUGCCUGUAUAGGGUAAAGCCAGAGGAAACUCUGGUGGAGGCUCGCAGCGGUUCUGACGUGCAAAUCGAUCGUCAAAUAUGGGCAUGG